rnacentral:rRNA from 1 species
CCUACGGGGGGCUGCAGCAAGGAAUUUUCCCCAAUGGGCUCACGCCUGAGGGAGCAACGCCGCGUGCAGGAUGACGGCCUUCGGGUUGUAAACUGCUUUUGGGGGGGACGACAUCGACGGUACCCCCCGAAUAAGCCCCGGCUAACUCUGUGCCAGCAGCCGCGGUAAGACAGAGGGGGCAAGCGUUGUCCGGAUUUACUGGGCGUAAAGCGUCCGCAGGUGGUUGGUCAAGUAGCAACUGAAAGCGCGGGGCUUAACUCCGCGUCGCGUCGCUA